rnacentral:rRNA from 1 species
ACUCCUACGGGAGGCAGCAGUGGGAAUUUUGGACAAUGGGCGAAAGCCUGAUCCAGCAAUGCCGCGUGUGCGAAGAAGGCCUUCGGGUUGUAAAGCACUUUUGUUAGGGAAGAAAUCUUCCGGGCCAAUACCCCGGUUGGAUGACGGUACCUUUCGAAUAAGCACCGGCUAACUACGUGCCAGCAGCCGCGGUAAUACGUAGGGUGCAAGCGUUAAUCGGAAUUACUGGGCGUAAAGCGUGCGCAGGCGGCACUACAAGACAGAUGUGAAAUCCCCGGGCUCAACCUGGGAAUUGCAUUUGUGACUGUAGAGCUAGAGUGUGUCAGAGGGGGUGGAAUUCCACGUGUAGCAGUGAAAUGCGUAGAGAUGUGGAGGAACACCGAUGGCGAAGGCAGCCCCUGGGAUAACACUGACGCUCAUGCACGAAAGCGU